rnacentral:rRNA from 1 species
AUUGAACGCUGGCGGCAGGCUUAACACAUGCAAGUCGAGCGGGGGAAGGUAGCUUGCUACCGGACCUAGCGGCGGACGGGUGAGUAAUGCUUAGGAAUCUGCCUAUUAGUGGGGGACAACAUCUCGAAAGGGAUGCUAAUACCGCAUACGUCCUACGGGAGAAAGCAGGGGAUCUUCGGACCUUGCGCUAAUAAAUGAGCAUAAAGCGGAUUAGCCAGUUGGUGGGGUAAAGGCAUACCAAGGAGACGAUCUGUAGCGGGUCUGAGAGGAUGAUCCGCCACACUGGGACUGAGACACGGCCCAGACUCCUACGGGAGGCAGCAGUGGGGAAUAUUGGACAAUGGGGGGAACCCUGAUCCAGCCAUGCCGCGUGUGUGAAGAAGGCCUUAUGGUUGUAAAGCACUUUAAGCGAGGAGGAGGCUACUUUAGUUAAUACCUAGAGAUAGUGGACGUUACUCGCAGAAUAAGCACCGGCUAACUCUGUGCCAGCCGCCGCGGUAA